UCUGAAUGAUCUGAAGCAGAGAAUCGAAGGCAGGAAAAUAAUAUAGAUAAGUAGUAGAGAAAUGACAGAAAAGAAGUAAAUCUUUAAUAGUCUUCUAAACAAAGAUGAAAUGCGAUCAUCAAUGUUGUUUCCAAAGCAUAGAAGACAAAUAAUACUAUACCAGGUAUUCUUCUCAUCUGGACUAUCUUUGGGACAUUAUAUGAGGAGGUCAAUACGGAGUUUCAAUCAUAUGGUUGCAAAGAUCACAAUGGUAAAAUUCAUGGAUUGUUCUUCUCCUGGAUUAAUGAGGACUGUGAAGUAUGUCAUUGUUUCGUAGCAGGAAUGAAAUGCGCUCGCCUUAUUGCAAGGCCUAUCGGUUAUGACAAAGAUAAAUGUGAGGAAAUUUUCGACAAAGAAUCAUGUCGUUACGAAGCUGUAGAGAAAGAUAAUCCCUCUCAAAGCUGUGACGUCUCAAAAUAUGCUUUUUAGUCCUUCUACCUCCUUCUGUUUUUGCUGCCAAAGUCAUCACCUCCCAAUGGAAAUUGUCCUCCCUUCAAGCAAUGACUCUCUACUCAGAAGUCAGAACAACAGAAGACUGUGAGCUAUGUGGGCAGGACCUUGGAUUUCCAUUCUCCUGAAGGUUUUGUCAAGUCUCAGGCACCCUGAUUCACACCACAAAGUGUCACCUCUCUGCCUCUUAAAAUCCUUUAGACACCUAAGUUGUACAAAUCCCACCUGUAACCUCUUGUCUAAUGAAUAUCACAAGAAAAUAUACGUUUCUCUAGCAUGAAAUGGAAUUCUGUUCUUUUCCUUUAUAGCAAUCGACAUCUAAAAUCAUUAUGGUUGUGGGAGAUUUCAUUAUGGUCUUUCUCUGAGGUAGUCCCUAGGAAGUACUCUUUGGGGCUCAAAGGUUGAAUGCCUAUUUUUUUUUUUUGCAUCUACUCACCUCUCAGAUCCCUAUUUGAGAAUCUUGGCACCACCAACCUGGUAGAAUCAGGAUUUGAAAGAAUGUAGGAGAAAAUAGAAAGAUAGUUACCAUGUUCAAGGUGGUAUAUUUACCAAUGAUGAUGACUUUCAGUUGGGUAAUGACACAAAAGAUAUCAAGUAUGUGUAGGAAUAAUCGGGUCCUUAAGUAGCACAGAUUGAAAGGUCCCCUACAUUAUAGAGACCCCAAGUAAAGGAUCAAAUACAUUGAAGAUACCUGAAUGAACUAGAAAUGGCCUAGGUCUGUACCUAGGAUAUGUUUCAUCUAAGCAAGACAUGUUAAGAGAUGUCCUCUUAGGUAUCUUUUCCUGUAUCUUAUCGCUAUCCCUGAAUACUGCAAUCCCAGAGCAGAUUGUACCCACUAGAUGAAUAUCUUGACAGGAUGCAUUGUUCUUCUCAAGACUCUCUGUGUUUGGAUAUAUGUUCCUAUGAAAAUAUUACAUGUAAUCAAGUGGAUGGAUAUGUUUACCUAGGAACACAACUGCCUACAAAUAUCAUUACUCCCCUCAAUAAAGUUGCCUUUGAUUUC